rnacentral:lncRNA from 1 species
AAAAUAAAAAAAUUCAAGAGUAGAAAAGAAACAAUUGACAAUUAAGAUUGUAGAGAAAAAAAGAGGGUUAAAAGUCUGACAGUUGAGUUUUUUUUUUUCUCUCUGUGUUCUCUCAUCCUCAUCUUUCACAGAGAGAGAGUUUUUUCUCAAAUUUUGCGUUAAGUUUCCAAUUAAUAUCGGAUUGAAUUUCCGGUUCAUCUAGAGCUAAUAAAUUCCGGCGAGUCCGGAUUUCUCUUUGGCUUAGUCCGAUUAACUUUGUUUUUUGGUGUGUUAAUAAUCUUCCGAUUAACGGAUUCCUUUUGCUAGAGAUGUAUGUUUUCAGAUCCUUUUUCUUGUGUGAGUUUAAUCCUUCGCUAAUCCUUAGUUGAGUGAAGGAUUUUAUCAAGUUGGAGGAUUUAUUGAUCUUUUCAAGGUUUAAAGCAGAAGGUUUUUCGUUUUCGGAUCUCUAAUCUUCUUCUCUUUCUCCGGCGACUUAAAGUUGAUAUUGGAUCUAUUCUCUUUAAUCGUUAUGCUCGAUCUCUCUGUUUGGGGAGAAAUAAAUAUCUACCUCAAAGGUUAAGGCAGAGUUUCUCUUACAAAAUUAAGAUUCAUGUGUCGACUAACUUAUAGAUUUGGUUAAGGCAAUCUUGCUGUCAAAUCAUAUAAGUUUCUCGUUGGUUUAUCUCGGCGAUUUGGGGAAGAUUCAUCCAUUAUAUCUGGCGAAAUCUUAAGAGGAAGAUGUUGCAGUGGUGCAAUUUAGUGUUUAAGGAAUCGAAGUUCGCGGCAGCUGUCGGUGGUGUAGGAGAUCGGAAGUCUAUCGGAGUUUUCUUGAUGAGGGCAUACAACUACAAGCACCACCUAUACCAGCCGUGAGACAAGGACCAAAAACAAGGUCAGGAACUAGAUUCUUGCGUGAAGAGUUUAAUCAAGCCAUUGAAGCUUUAGUUAGCAUCCACAAGCACGAAGACUCUUUGUACCCAAGCUUUAAGGCCACAAUCCAAUAAAGGAGCCCGGAAGAGCCUAAUGAAGAAGAAGCCUAUCAUAUACAAGACGGCCCAAGAACUGAAUUGCCACUUCUCCGACCCAACAAGGAAGUGUCCCUAUUCAGCGUCAGCAUCACGCUAACUUAAGACCAUCCUAGCCGUCCAAUCUACCAAGGUAAGCUAAUGAAUACAAUAUCUACUUGCCUAACUUGGUUUUCUGUCUUUGGUUUGUUUUACAGGUUCUAUUCAUAGUUUUAAGUUUUAUAAUAUCUCUCUAGUUAUUGCACGAGUCUAUACUUGCUUCUUUAGAGUCCCAGAAUUUGUGUCAUUUAUUGUAUUUGUUUCAAGUCCCCAAGAAGGGCAAAGCUGCAUCAGACUCUCUUAUAAAGUCCCAUAUAAGCAGCCGUGUAUUUUUUACCUAAUAUCAAUAAAGAACGCACUUAUUCAAGCAAAGUCUUGUCCAUUGAAUUCAUUGAUUUCGUCCAGAGUUGGUGUUUGAUUCUUCUCUUAAGAGCUGGUGUUUGAUCCAUCUCUUGCCGGUCUUAUCAAAGCUCAUUCCAUAGAUCUUUGUGGCGACCAUCAUUCCACUGUGUGAAACACUUCCAUCCCAUCCCUUGACUUAAUCAGAGAGAGUUACAUAACCAGCUGAUCGAGUCCCAUCCACUUUCACUUUGAAUCCAUUUAUUAUCCUUGUUGAGAGAGUUAAACAACCAGCAACAAGGAGCCAUCACUAUCUAUAGGCCCGUGCCUAUAUCAUCUGGUAUCAGAGUCAAAAAGGUUCCAAACCAGAUUUUAUCCUUUCAUACCUUUCGGUUAUAUCUCUUUUGCAUCUUCGUUUUCUUGUCGCAUAAUUAUUCAAAAACCAAAACAAAGAGUUCUAUUCAAUUCGCAUACAUAGCAUAUCAUCUUGAGCAUUCAUCUACAUCUCUAGAAUCAUUUCCCUUAGCAUCUUUAAUAGCAUCAACUAGUUGCGGCUCAUUGUUAGAACAAGAAUCUGUCAAAGCCCUAGUUAGCCGAAAAAGGAAAGUCUUCAUAAUCACGUAUAAAAAAAAGGAAAGAGUUUACAUUUUACUCAUUGCCUCGUCGUUUUAUUUAGUAUCAACAAAAAAAAAGAGAAAGAAGAAAUUUCUUUAUACACAUUUAGUCGCAUCUUAGCUAUCUCCUAUUUCACUAGGGACUCUUUUGCACUUGAUCUUUUGUUUGCUCUUGUAUGCAGACAUCAGCCAUGGGAGACAACACCGCACAACUACCAGACGUCAUGCAACAGCUACUUGACGGUAUGUGGAGUGUUAGUGACCGUCUCAACCUCAUGGAGCAACAAUUGCCACCACCAGCUCAGCCCAACAAUAAAGGAAACCAACCGAGGGAGCAACCAAGGCAACAACAUGACAAUGGUGAAGAAUAAACCGAUGAAGACAUGCCAAGUCUCGAAGAUGACCUACCACCUGACCCAAACCCACGAUACGGCAGGCGAGACGAUCAUGGCCAAGGCCAACAUCAGCACCGUGGAAGAGAAAGAAGCCGAGAGUGAGAUAGAGAAGACGAGAGAUAUGGGGGCAAAGAUCUUAAGAUUACCCCACCCACCUUUGCUGGAAAGGUCAACCCCGAGGCUUACCUAAAUUCGGAAAGAAGAAUGGACCAUAUCUUUGAUUACUACUGACAGACCAUGCUCUCACAUGGUGGGACCGAUAGGUUUCUGAAAGACGAAGGCUAAGACGUGGGCAAAUCACAAAUUGGGAGGACAUGACGUUCCAUCUAAGAAAGAGGUAUGUGCCAGCUUAUUACUUUAGAGACUUACAGAAACGUUUUCCAAAAUUGUCUCAGGAGAAUAGAUCAGUAGAGGAUUACUACGAGGAGUUUGAGACUAUCAGAAACUGAUUGGAGCUUCAAGAGUCAGAGGAGACAUUGAUGGCCCAAUUUGUCGAUGGACUCCAAGAAAGAAUCGCAAGAAAGGUAGAGUGGCAGAGCUAUGAGCACAUGGAAGAUUUGCUGCACUUUGACAUCAAGUUGAGCAGCAUUUCAAGAAGAAAACAACCACUAACUGAAGGAAGUCUACUUGAACUCAACCCUUCUCUAAACCAAUGCACAAAGGUAAAUCCAUAGAAGUGGAAAAUCGGUUCAAGAAACCAGCUUCCAGACCAUCAAAGCCGGCUAAAAAUGAGCAAGGUAAGGCUCUUAUUCAAAGGUCUCGAGAUAUAACGUGUUUUUAAGUGUCAGGGAAAGGGCCACUUUGCAAAAGAAUGCCCGAAUCAAAGGGUAAUGGUGUUGAGAGAAAAGGGAGAGUAUGAGUCACAAGAUGAAGCCGAGUUAGAAGCCACUGAUUCAGAAGAAGAGAUAACCGAUUUUCCUGAGGUUGGGGAGAUGUUGGUGAUCAGAAGAUAUCUCGGUGCACUAUGUGAUCCCGAGACACUUCAAAGAGAAAACAUCUUUCAUACGAGAUGUAGCAUUGGGAACAAGGUAUGUAGCCUCAUUAUAGACGGUGGCUCUUGUACUAACGUGGUUUUGAAAAGACAAAGCACCCAAGUCCUUACCGUUUAAGAUGGCUCAAUGAUACCACGGAGGUGAGGAUUGCGGAGCAAGUUGUUGUACCAUUCAGUAUAGGAAAGUAUAGUGAUCAAGUUAAGUGUGACGUUGUACCCAUGCUAGCCGGUCACCUGCUCCUUGGGAGGCCAUGGCAGUUUGACAAAGAAACCGUGCAUAACAGUCGCACCAACUACUAUUCUUUCACUCACAACAACAAGAAGCACAACUUAGCCCCUGUCACGCCAUCAGAGGUUCGUGAAAUGCAACAGACCAUGAACAAAAGGAGAAAGCUAAGUAAAACCAAUUUAUUUGUCUCACCGAGUACAAUUCUUAAAAACCUUGAUCAUAAACAACCAGUAUUGCUCAUGAUCUUUAGAGGAAGUUUGUUUACAGAUAAUGAAGAAGGCUAGGAGCUUCCACACGAGGUAACUCAGCUACUGGACAAGUUCAAAGAUGUCUUCCCAUAAUAGAUACCACCUGGCCUCCCACCCAUAAGAGGCAUUGAGCAUCAAAUUGAUCUAGUACCGGGGGCACCCUUACCUAACCGAGCCGCAUAUAGGGUUAAUCCAACAGAGGCGAAGGAACUAGAGGCUCAAGUAUAGGAUUUGAUGUCUAAAGGUUACAUAAGAGAGAGCCUCAGCCCGUGUGCAGUGCCAGUCUUGUUGGUGCCAAAGAAGGACGACUCUUGGAGAAUGUGCGUGGACUGUAGAGCCAUUAACAACAUCACCAUCAAAUAUAGGCAUCCAAUUCCGAGACUAGACAACAUGUUGGACGAGUUAAGUGGAGUUACUAUCUUCUCAAAGGUGGAUCUAAAGAGUGGUUAUCAUCAGGUGAGAGUAAAGGAAGGAUAUGAGUAGAAAAUUGCCUUCAAGACCAAGUAGGGUCUGUACGAAUGGCUUGUGAUGCCUUUUGGUAUCACAAACGCCCCAAGUACCUUCAUGAGACUCAUGAACCACGCCUUGAGAGCAUACAUCUGUAAGUUUUUAGUGGUUUACUUCGAUGAUAUUCUAAUUUACACCCAAUGUUUGAAGGAUCAUAUUAAGCAUCUAGAGCAGGUUAUAGAGACGCUUAGAUUAGAGGGUUUAUAUGCAAAUCUUAAGAAAUGUAUCUUCUGCACUGAUCAAUUGGUGUUUUUAGGAUUUGUUGUAAGUUCUCAGGGCCUUAAAGUGGAUGAGGAGAAGAUUAAAUAAUGGCCCACACCAGCCACGGUUGGACAUGUUUGAAGCUUUCAUGGUUUGGCAAGUUUUUACAGGCGCUUUGUCAAGGAUUUCAGUACAAUAGCAGCCCCAUUGACAUCUGUGAUCAAGAAGAAUACUACUUUCACUUGGGGGCCAACUCAAGAAGCCGCAUUCAAUAAGCUGAAGGAGAGCCUCACAGAGGCACCGGUUUUAGUCCUUCCUAACUUUGAUAAAAUGUUUGAAGUUUAAUGUGAUGCAUCAGGUACCGGCAUAGGAGCUGUCUUAACUCAAGGAGCAAGACCAAUAGCUUAUUUCAGUGAGAAGUUAAGUGGGGCAACGCUCAACUAACCAACUUAUGAUAAAGAGCUCUAUGCUUUGGCGAGGUCACUAGAAACGUGGCAACACUAUCUGCUCCCAAAGGAGUUUAUCAUCCACACAGACCACAAGACCCUCAAGCACUUAAGAGGCCAGAUCACACUUAAGAAAAGGCAUGCACGGUGGUUAGAAUUCGUGGAGACCUUCCCAUAUGUGAUCAAGUACAAGAAGGGGCAGGAGAACAUUGUAGCCAAUGCACUUUCAAGGCGUUACACUCUCAUCUCUACAAUGGAAACCAAGAUCAUGGGGUUUGAACACAUCAAGGGAGGAUAUGAAUCUUAUCCCGACUUCUCAGAAGUCUACAAAGAAACUACAAAGGCCGCAUUUGGAGUAUUCUACCAACAAGAUAAGUUUCUAUUUAAGUAGAAACGGUUGUGCAUCCCACAAGGAUCCAUGAGGGAGUUGAUCACAAGAGAAGCUCAUGGAGGCGGGUUAAUGGGAUAUUUUGGCCGAGCUAAGACGCUGAGUGUACUGAUGGAGCACAUGCGAAGAGAUGUGGAGAAGCUAUGUGCCAAAUGCAUCAUUUGUCUUUGAGCUAAGUCCAGGUUACACCCUAACGGUUUACAUAUGCCUUUACAUAUUCCUAAUGCACCCUAGGUGGACAGUUCUAUGGAAUUUUUUCUAGGCUUUCCUAAGAUACACAACAAAGACUCCAUUUUUUAGUAGUAGACAGGUUCUCAAAGAUGGCGCACUUUAUACCAUGUAACAAGACCAAUGAUGCAACUCAAACAGCUGACCUCUUCUUUAAAGAAGUUGUGCGCCUACAUGGAGUCCCCAGAACCAUUGUUUCAGACCGAGUCACAAAGUUCCUCAGCCAUUUUUGGAAGUCACUGUGGAGAAAGCUUGGAACCAAACUCUUAUUCUCCACCACUUGUCAUCCUCAAACGGAUGGGCGAACCGAGGUAGUAAACCGUACACUCUCAACCUUAUUGUGGGCCACGGUUGGUAAGAAUCUCAAGAAUUGGUUAUCUUGUCUACCUUUCAUUGAAUUUACUUAUAACCGUUCCAAACACUCUGCUACUAACCAAUCUCCUUUUGAAGUUGUCUAUGGGUUCAACCCUCACACGCUUUUAGACCUUAUUAACUUGCCACCAGCCAUCUAUUUGAGCGCAGAAGGAGAAGCUAAGGCUGAUUUUGUGAAAAAGCUGCACCAAAAGGUUAAAGAGAGGCUGGAGAAAAAGAACAAGAAGGAAAAGGCAUGAAUUGACAAAGGACACAAGGAGAUCACCUUUGAACCAGGAGAGUGGGUGUGGUUGCACAUGAGGCAAGACAUGUUCCCACAGCAAAGAAAAUCCAAGCUUGCACCAAGGGGAGAUGGACCAUUCCGAGUCUUGGAGAAGAUCAACGACAAUGCAUAUAAGUUGGAGCUGCCAGGUGAGUUUAAUAUAUCUCCUACUUUCAAUGUUACUGAUUUAUCUCCUUAUGAUGCAGGUGAAACUGUUCUGAGGACAGAACCUUCUCAAGAGGGAGAAGAUGAUGAGGGCAUACAACUACAAGCACCACCUAUACCAGCCGUGAGACAAGGACCAAGAACAAUUACAGGAACUAGAGUCUUGCGUGAGGAGUUUAAUCAAGCCAUUGAAGCCUUACUUAGCAUCCACGAGCAAGAAGACUCUUUGUACCCAAGCUUUAAGGCCAUGGUCCAAGAAAGAAGCCCGGAAGAGCCUAAUGAAGAAGAAGCCUAUCUUAUACAAGACAGCCCAACAACUGAAUUGCCACUUCUCUGACCCAACAAGGAAGUGUCCCUAUUCAGCAUCAGCAUCACACCAACUUAAUACCAUCCUAGCCGUCCAAUCUACCAAGGUAAGCUAAUGAAUACAAUUAUCUACUUGCCUAACUUGGUUUUCUGUCUAUUUAUUUUACAGGUUCUAUUCAUAGUUUUAAGUUUUAGAAUAUUUCUCUAUUUAUUGCACGAGUCUGUACUUGCUUCUUUAGAGUCCC